UUUUUUUUUUUUUUGAAUGCUUGGAUUAGGAUGGGUAUAAAUAGGUGGAUGUAUAUUUUUUCUUAUAUAAUAGUGACAGGGCAUUUCCUUGUUUUAAAUAAAAAAAUAAAGAUGAUUGUCUCUAAAUGCUUUUGAUUUGUAAAUAAUGGAAAGCCUUUGUUGGUCUCAGGAAGAAUUCAAGGGACAGUAUCUUGUGUUUGGCUCACUGGGAACUUGUGAGAUAAGAUGUGAUACUGCUUUUUUGCUAGGCAGAAAGGCAAAAUGCAUUUAGCAGUAAUGGGCAAAAGCAGUUUUACUCCAGUGUUUGGAGAGUAACCUUGGGAGUGAUUGUGUAGGAAAGUUGUAGUGGAGGAUGUUGAGGCCAUGUCAUAGAGUUGUUCCUUGGAGAUUGUCCAUCUCUCAGCUGUUCAUCUGGACCAAACAGACUGAAUUAGAGGCCUAAUCCAGCUCCCUUUUAAGACAAUAGGAAUUUGCAAUGAUUACAUGGGAUUUAGUGCUUUGGGAGAUUUAUCUUUGAUUUGACAGGGGUAGGACUGUGAGUUUUCUAAACCUCCACCUUUGUCUCUGAUUUAAUCCUAUCUUUUAAACUGCCUUUCGUGUUAAUUUGCCAUACAAAACCCAUCUUUUUUUGGCACUAAUCACCUCCUGCUGAUUCUACCAUUUUGUGCUCUCAGUGUAAAAGCAAUAAUCCCUUUUUUUUUUUCCCUUAAAACUAGAUGGUAUGUUUUUGUACAAGCCCCAGCUCUGAGCUCUGUGUGCUGAUGGGUCUUGAUACCCUUUCAAAGAGGCUUCUAUAAAGAGCAUUAAUAGGGAGAAAUAGGGAAUGUCAUUCCUCCUCUGUUCUCUUCUCCCUGGCUUUAAAUUACUAGGUAUAUCAAAUAUGUUCAUGUUCUAAUUUCCAUAUUCGUGCUUCAACAAGUAGACGAAAAUAAGUAUCCAUGACUUUGACACCCCUAUACAGCUUCCUUUGGGAUUAUGCAUUGCUGUGGUGUGAAAACCUCCAUUAAGAUUAGUGAAGAAAUAGUUUAGGAUUCUUAAUGAGGACGGGUGAGGAUUGACUUCUUCAGCCUAACGUGUGGGGAUAACAUCCCUCAACACAGUAGGAGAGAAUGCUGGGUGCAUUAAUGCUCUACUGCUGGCACCAUGUCCUAAGGCUGAUGGCAGAAGUAUUGAAGCAAGCAUACUUAGAAAAGUGGUUUCAGGAUGUGUUAAACCACCUCAGUGAUUGCCACCUAGAAGCUGGUUUCUGUCAGAAUGGCCCGUGGGGUUCACAGUGCUGUCCAAACUCACUACCGCAGUCUUUGCUUGUGGCAUUCCAGAAGUGCAAAUCAAUGCACUUUUCCUGCUAAGGAGACAAGGAAAAGUAUGCCUGGAAUAUACACAUCAAUAUCAUGUACAGCUGCUAGGUGUAUCUGACACUGGCGAAAAGCAGGAAAAGUUUGGGGUUUUGCAGAACUCGAGUGAAAUUCUGUCUGCCUAGCAAAGAAGAACUUGUGUAAUGGGACUUUUAGCAAAGUUUAAACAGUUUUGUGGGGAUAAAACCCCAUCCAAACCAACAGUUAUAUCUUAUAAAACAUUGGUUAACUUUUUCCUUUUGUCCUUUGAGAGGAAAAUUAUCUUUAAAUGUCCUAGAGAUCAUGUUGAACUCCAGAAGUUCAAAGCUGUUACAUACUCUAGCUGAUUUACUACUACAAUCUUCCCUCUGGAACCAUAAAUGAAGAAUAAAUUUUAAUACAUGGGGUGUUUAACUAGGGAAGAAACUUACCUCGGCACGUCAUGGGUCAUCCGCUACUUAGAGUCUUUACGUUAAAACUUAAUGGCUUUAUGAAAGGUCUGCUUUAGUUUAGUUGAAAUUUAUAAAUGUUGUUGAAGAAAUCCAUGUAUGUUGAUAUGAAGGACCCAGAGUAGAUGUCUGUAUGAGUGUGUAUGUGGGACAGUGUUUUGCUAAGAUGUAUCUGCAUUCCUUAGUAUUUUAAAAUAUGUUUCUUUUUAUUUGCUGCUUGAAGAACCCACAAUUCUGUCCAAUCUAUAUUUUUGUUACACAUGAGAAUUUAAAGUGGGAAGACAUUUCCUUUGCAAGACUGCACACAUUUGGACGUUUGCAUGAGCUCUUGCAGGACUUUGCAUGGCCACAAAGAACUCACACGUGUACACAUCAAUACACCAGGCAAAAUAUGCCUCUCUCUUUCGUCCUUUUGUGGUUCUUGGCUCAUAUGUGAGUAAUGACUUGGGCUCUCUGGAACUAGAACAGACAGUGAAAGGGAAGCCUUUGUCCAAGGUUAAUUCCAGCUUUUCAGUUACACAUGAAAAAUUGGUCAGCGAAAGGUGAGCUGAUUUUUGUCUGCUCUAUCUCUGACUUCUUAUUGCCCUUCAUAGAAUCACAGAAUGGUUUGGGUUGGAAAGGACCUUAAGCUCAUCCAGUUCCAACCCCCUGCUAUGGGCAGGGGCACCUCACCUUAAACCAUGUCACCCAAGGCUCUGUCCAACCUGGCCUUGAACACUGCCAGGGAUGGCGCAUUUACCACUUCUUUGGGCAGCCUGUUCCAGUGCCUCCCCAGC
rnacentral:lncRNA from 1 species